UGAAGGCAACGUGGGACACGAAACCAGGAGGAACACUGUCUGGAUUUUCACCGUCUAUCAUCUGAAUGGAAGAACAUAUUUAUAUCAGGAGUGGAGAUGAGGAUUUGAGUUUGUGUCCACUGUGGUUGUGAGAUCAGGGAGCUUUCUCAGUGCUACAUGCUUGCUGACAGUGCAGGAGGUUUUUGUACGGCCACUCAAUGAGUUUGUAUCACUGUGGUACACUUUUGGUGGAGGAACCAAACUCAUCGUUCACUGUAAGUACCAGAGAUUUGUAUUUUCUAACACAGAAAACAUUACAUUUACUUUUACAUCAGAAUUUGAUAAAUCAAGACAUUAUUUUGGAUAAUUUAAAUUAUGUUGAUAUUUUUUAAAUCUAUAAAGCUUGUCUGAAGAAUUUAAAAACAUUAAGCGAAGUUAGUUUUAUUGUAAUAUUAAAGAAGAUGUUACGGUGAAUUAUAUGUACGUUUUACUUUUCUUUUCUAAUAAGAUAUAAAAACAUUUUUAGCUCACAAUUGACCAAAGAACAGCUGCUCUGUCAUAACAUCUAAUUGUGAUUUACUUUUUAAUUGUUAUAUAUUUUAACAUUCAACAAGUGUUUCAUAUAAAAUGUGCUGAGGAUCCGUUAAAACACAUUAAAGUGUGUUUUUGUACAUUCAGAGUCGCUGCAGGGUGCGUUCACAGUCCGUUAGUUUAAAAGAGUUCAAAGGAAGUGAAACAAACAGAUGACAAAGUCUUCAACUGUAUGAGAUGUUACUUUUAGUUUUUCUGAACAGUAAAUGAUUUCAGAGAUUAGUUAUUCAUUCUGAAACAUUGUAAAGCAGAGAUAAAGCUUUUCAUAUAAUGAUCAUUACAUGAACACCUUCAUUACGUUGCUUACUUUCAUGUAACUCUUCAGGAGUUUUGAUGAGUGCCAAAGAAGAAGAUUCAUUAUUUUAAAUGCCAGAAUGAUAUAAAGUAUCACCGUUUGAUUUUAUGAAUGAAACCCUCGUGUUCUCCCAUGCCUCAGCUCCUCUUGUGAUCACAGCUCAUAGUCACAGCUGACCCCCACUUUCUCUGUCCUGUACCUUCAAUGUAUAAUUCUUGUUCUGAUGAGAGCUACAGAAUAACACUCUGACUCCAAACGUCAAGUUUAACAUUUUAUUCUAUUUAUUAAACCCUCAUUUCCUUCCUCAUUCUGUUUGUUCUGGCACUAUUUGAAUGUUUUUAAAAUAUGUUUUAUUGUUUUACGUCCUACAUAUUUGUACGUUGCAUUGUUGGAGGAGCCUUGGGCUUUUCAUUGCCUUAUCUACAUCGCCUAUGUGCAAUAUGUGCAAUAUGUAUAUAUGCCGUUAAUACCUGUGCAAUAUAUACCUGGCUGCUAAAUCCUCAGAACUGUUACAGGAGGUAUAUUUUGUAAAUUGUGUAACUUUUUAUUUCAUUUUUUAUUAUAUUAUAACUUUUUUUUACUUGAAUACUUUUGUAUGCAUGCUUCUACGUAACAUGAAGCUGUCUCUGGCUCUUUUCUGCUGUAACAGCGUGAAUGUCCCCUCUGAGGGACUACUAAAGGUAUUCUGACUCUGGUUCUGAUUCACUGCAGCUACUGUGCAUAUGACAGUAAAGCCUCUGAAUGUUUGAAUGUGUCCUGUAUGGACUCUGUCUCACAGCGUCUGAUCAUCAGGAGCUUUAAUGUUUGUAGAGGAAAGUGAAGCUUUGUGUGGCCGAGAACAACACUGCUGUAAAGUGUUGGACAGCAGCAACUUAGAGAGUGAUGUGUGAAGCUCAGCAGAGAUGAGAGUGUGCUUAGUAACUGUCAUGUUGAUGAUUCAGGAUGUUCCUAAUAAAGCUUUCUCUGAUAAAUAA